UACGUAGGGUGCGAGCGUUGUCCGGAAUUAUUGGGCGUAAAGAGCUCGUAGGCGGUCUGUCGCGUCGGUCGUGAAAACUUGGGGCUUAACCCUGAGCUUGCGGUCGAUACGGGCAUGACUGGAGUUCGGCAGGGGAGACUGGAAUUCCUGGUGUAGCGGUGAAAUGCGCAGAUAUCAGGAGGAACACCGGUGGCGAAGGCGACUCUCUGGGACGGUACUGACGCUGAGACGCGAAAGCGUGGGGAGCGAACAGG
rnacentral:rRNA from 1 species